ACACGACUACAUUAGAUACCCCUGUAGUCCAGGGUGUAAACGCUGCGGGCUUGGUGUUGGGGGUCCUUUGAGGGNGCCCAGUGCCGGAGAGAAGUUGUUAAGCCUGCUGCUUGGGGAGUACGGCCGCAAGGCUGAAACUUAAAGGAAUUGGCGGGGGAGCACAACAACGGGUGGAGCUUGCGGUUUAAUUGGAUUCGACGCCGGAAAUCUUACCGGGACCGACAGCAACAUGAAGGCCAAGCUGAAGACUUUGCCGGAUUAGCUG
rnacentral:rRNA from 1 species